CCUACGGGAGGCAGCAGUGGGGAAUUUUGGACAAUGGGCGCAAGCCUGAUCCAGCCAUGCCGCGUGUGGGAAGAAGGCCUUCGGGUUGUAAACCACUUUUGUCAGGGAAGAAACGGUCUGGUCUAAUAAACCGGACUAAUGACGGUACCUGAAGAAUAAGCACCGGCUAACUACGUGCCAGCAGCCGCGGUAAUACGUAGGGUGCAAGCGUUAAUCGGAAUUACUGGGCGUAAAGCGUGCGCAGGCGGCUUUGCAAGACAGAUGUGAAAUCCCCGGGCUCAACCUGGGAACUGCAUUUGUGACUGCAAGGCUAGAGUACGGCAGAGGGGGGAUGGAAUUCCGCGUGUAGCAGUGAAAUGCGUAGAUAUGCGGAGGAACACCGAUGGCGAAGGCAAUCCCCUGGGCCUGUACUGACGCUCAUGCACGAAAGCGUGGGGAGCAAACAGGAUUAGAUACCCUGGUAGUCCACGCCCUAAACGAUGUCAACUGGUUGUUGGGAGGGUUUCUUCUCAGUAACGAAGCUAACGCGUGAAGUUGACCGCCUGGGGAGUACGGCCGCAAGGUUGAAACUUCAAAGGAAAUUGACGGCUUGGNGAGNGCGAGGACGACGACGAGGGAGGAGG
rnacentral:rRNA from 1 species